GACAAUGUUGGUGACACUGUGCUCUUUGGGGACAAUGAUCCAAAAUCACCAAAUCCAAAGUUUGGAUCAUACUGGAUCAACGAUGGAAAGGUUGUUGGAGUUUUUCUGGAAGGUGGAAGUCCUGAUGAAAACAAGGCUAUUGCUAAAGUUGCAAGAGUCCAGCCUUCUGUUCAGAAUUUGGAUCAGCUGACCGAGGAAGGUCUUUCCUUUGCCAGUAAGAUUUGAUUAUUUCCUUGUGCAUCUAAUAGCUCGCAAUCCUAUGAUACAGCUUCGUGGUUUUUCCAUUAGAAUUCUGGAAUUUGCUUUUGAGGAUAUUCUUGCCGUUAUCAUCUGCUUUUAGUGGCAAUGUAUGGAGUGCCUGCUUGUUUUGUUUGGGAUAAUAGUUCUCUCCA
rnacentral:misc_RNA from 1 species